GCUCCCUUAGCUCAGCUGGAUAGAGCAGCUGCCUUCUAAGCAGCCGGUCGAGUGUUCGAAUCACUCAGGGGGCG
rnacentral:tRNA from 4 species